UAUUGUUCACUUCCGGUUAUAAACAAUAACAUGGGGAAAAAUUACUGUGCCGUUAAAGACUGUCACAAUGUCUCUGGGCGUAUUGGUAGAUUUGGUAAACCGGUAAAACGGAAUUUAGAUUUAAAAUUUCGUCUGGAAGAAUAUCAAGGAUCUUCAAGGCAUGGAUUCAGUUAAUGUGUCAGUGUUUGCAGACAAUUGUGUUUUUACCACCAUUGAAAGAGAUGAAAGCGAUUCCUAAGUGUUUUGAGAAGUUCAGAGAUACUCGUAUUGUCUUGGACUGUACAGAAAUAUUUGUUCAAACUCCUUCAUCUCUACAAACCCAGAGUCAGACUUUUUCCAACUACAAGGGCCACAAUACACUGAAGUCUUUGAUUGGCAUCGACAAAAUUGGAGCAGUAGUUUUUGUAUCUCGUCUUUGGGGUGGGUCAGUAUCGGAUACCCAGAUAACCAGAGAAAGUGGACUAUAUGAUCUCCUAGAGGAGGGUGAUGCUGUUAUGGUGGACAAAGGAUUUAUACAUAUUAAGGGCGAUUUAUCACAACGUGGAGUUAAAUUGUACUGCCCUCCUUUUCUGACCAAAAAUCAAUUUACCAAGAAGGAAGUUGAAAGCACCAGGAGGAUUGCAUUUGCACGCAUACAUGUUGAGCGCAAAAUGGAGCAGAUCAAGAACUUUCGUAUUCUGCAAGGAGUUAUACCAAUAAGCUUAUGUGACAUUGUAGAUGAAGUUUUUUUUGUGUGUGCAUCUCUGACAAAUCUUUUACCACCUCUUGUAAAGUAGGAAUAAGUACUAGGAUAUAUGUUGUAUCUGUGAUAAUCAUGUUAUUAUAAAUAAAACAUGCACACAUCUCAUUGUUAUAAAUCUAAAAUGUGCAUUUUUGAUAAAAUCUAAUGUAACAAACAUGAAAAUAAGAAGACAAAUGAAAUUUUUUGUACAUGUGUUUAUUGAAUUUGCAUAUCAAUAUCAAUUUAAUCAAAUUCAUUGUUCACAUAUGUAUCUAUAAAUAAAAUUUGCAAUAC
rnacentral:misc_RNA from 1 species